AGUGAACGCUGGCGGUAGGCCUAACACAUGCAAGUCGAACGGCAGCACAGUAAGAGCUUGCUCUUACGGGUGGCGAGUGGCGGACGGGUGAGGAAUACAUCGGAAUCUACUUUUUCGUGGGGGAAAACGUAGGGAAACUUACGCUAAUACCGCAUACUACCUACGGGUGAAAGCAGGGGAUCUUCGGACCUUGCGCGAUUGAAUGAGCCGAUGUCGGAUUAGCUAGUUGGCGGGGUAAAGGCCCACCGAGGCGACGAUCCGUAGCUGGUCUGAGAGGAUGAUCAGCCACACUGGAACUGAGACACGGUCCAGACUCCUACGGGAGGCAGCAGUGGGGAAUAUUGGACAAAGGGCGCAAGCCUGAUCCAGCCAUACCGCGUGGGUGAAGAAGGCCUUCGGGUUGUAAAGCCCUUUUGUUGGGAAAGAAAAGCAGCAGGUUAAUACCCCGCUGUUCUGACGGUACCCAAAGAAUAAGCACCGGCUAACUUCGUG
rnacentral:rRNA from 1 species